rnacentral:lncRNA from 1 species
AGAGACACCUUUCCUGGGAAGAGAGCUGACAACCUUCUGUGGUAAGGGGUGAACAUCCUUGGGAAGCCACAGAGAGCAAGGCGCAGUUUUUCAUUGAUCACCACUUUCAAGAUGCUCCCAGAAUCGUGCUGUCUAGGAAGCCAUUUAAACUGGUGAGAAGCCAUCCUCUCUUGAAUGGGGGCUCCCACUGUACAUCUGGCACCCACUUCACAGAUUCUGGGGGAUGUCAACACCAGCACUGCUGAGCUGUGUGACCUUGAGCAAGACAGUUAGCCUCUCUGAACCUCAGUGUCCUUCUCUGUAGGCUGGAGAUUGAUAUACCUUCAUUAUCGGGGUAUGAGAGUGUUAUAAGGUGGGAUGGUGGAACACGCUGACUGGUCUGGGCUAUUCAAGAUCCAUGAACUGGAAGAUGCUUUCUUAUAACUCAGAGAAAAGAGAUGAAAAUGAAUCAAAGAACAGGAAGGAGACAAGCUCAGGAGAGUCACCCUAAGAAGGAUGUGUGGAAGACUUGACUGGAGGAUCAAAAUGUGUCGGGGGAAGGUGUACAAGGAGGAGUAAGGACACAGAUGUCCUGACUUCACACAGUGGGGGAUUAGAAGCCACCAUCAAACACAGAUGAAACAGGAAUAAAAGUAGUAGUACAUUACUUAAGCUUUAAAAGGGUAAGACUCCUGGGAAUUUGGAAGCUGAGACUUGAGGAGCAGAGGCAUUUAGCUGUGUAAACACAGAGCUUCAGUGGCAGCACCCUAAAUGCUUAGCUGAUAGAUCCGGAAUUAAAUACAGACCUAGAAACUGGAGUUGGAAAACUUCCUGGCAGCACUCCUUCCCUGCCAUCCCGGUGAUCCCCUUCUGGAUGGAGGGUGUGGAGCUCAGCACAUUCACGUCUGCAGUUCUCAGAGAACCAAGUGUUAAGGAAUGUCAGGGAAGGAAGAAGGCAGCCAGCCAGGAAGGGGAGGUCCUGGCCUGAGCACGCCAGGCACAGAGGGAUAGAGGGUAGGGAGGAAACUGCACCUGUCUCCAACCCUCGACCCCAGCCCCGAAACACGACAUUGGCUGAAACAGAUUAAAAGCAUAAAAUGGCCCAAAGAAAUGGGAGAAGGUUGGCCUCUGGUCGGGCAAACAUGAGGGCAUGAAGAUAUAUAAUGUCCCACACGGGAGGAAACCCUUGCCGGGCCCCUCAGGAUUUAUAACAAGCUCACCUGAAGGAGAAACUUCAGGGGCACUUACACCAUCAGAUACCUAGAAAGGAGCUGUCAUUUCCUCACUGAAGAGUUUGCAAGCAGAUGGUAAAAGGGGUUUAAUUUGAAAACACUGAAACAUCGUGUUCGCUCAAAACCAUGACAAUUGCAGUUUUAUUGUCUCCACUCAGGAAAAUGUGUGUCUGGAUCAUCUUGUGGCCCGAAUGGGGAGAAAAGAUGCAGUAUUCCAAAGCAGGAGAUUCACUGAAAAAGAUGUUUAAGAAGUUGCUGAUGAAGAAAAGUUCAGGAUUCACAGCUCCAUACAAAGGGAAUAGCCACUUUUCUCAUUUUGAGAUAUGACUACUAACAAGUAUUAUUCUGCAUCUUCAGCCAGGCUGUGGAAGGCCCCAUUCUUUCUGUAACACAGAUGUUCAAUUGGAAUU